UACGUAGGGGGCAAGCGUUAUCCGGAAUUACUGGGUGUAAAGGGAGCGUAGACGGUAAUGUAAGUCUGGAGUGAAAGGCGGGGGCUCAACCCCCGAACUGCAUUUGAAACUGUUGGUCUUGAGUAUCGGAGAGGCAGGCGGAAUUCCUAGUGUAGCGGUGAAAUGCGUAGAUAUUAGGAGGAACACCAGUGGCGAAGGCGGCCUGCUGGACGACAACUGACGGUGAGGCGCGAAAGCGUGGGGAGCAAACAGG
rnacentral:rRNA from 1 species